rnacentral:rRNA from 1 species
AUUGAACGCUGGCGGCAGGCCUAACACAUGCAAGUCGAACGAGUGGCGGACGGGUGAGUAAUGUCUGGGAAACUGCCUGAUGGAGGGGGAUAACUACUGGAAACGGUAGCUAAUACCGCAUACCAUCAGAUGUGCCCAGAUGGGAUUAGCUAGUAGGUGGGGUAACGGCUCACCUAGGCGACGAUCCCUAGCUGGUCUGAGAGGAUGACCAGCCAAACUGGAACUGAUACACGGGCCAGACUCCUACGGGAGGCAGCAGGGGGGAAAAUUGCACAAGGGGCGAAAGCCUGUGGCAGCAAUGCCGCGUGUAUGAAGAAGGCUUUCGGGUUGUAAAGUACUUUCAGCGGGGAGGCGUUACCCGAAGAGGAAGCCCCGGCUAACUCCGUGCCAGCAGCCGCGGUAAUUC